rnacentral:tRNA from 1 species
AAUAAGAUGCCUGAAACAAAAGGACUAUCUUGAUAGGAUAGAUAAUGUAAAUACUUACUCUUAUUA